rnacentral:rRNA from 1 species
AUGACCUCCGACGCGUUCGGCGCCGGGGUCUAUGACUGGUGCGUGAAGAUCUACCCCGACGGCAAGAGUUCGUCCGACGCCGGCUGGGUCUCCGUCUACCUGCAGAUCCAGGCUAGCCGCGCCAACGACGACGGCUUGACUGUCAUGGCGCGAUUCAGCAUCUUCUUGCUCGGCCAGGACAGACAAGAGGUGCCGUCGUACAGCAGACGGUGGGCCAAGAUGCUCCCCUUCGCUCCUGAGGAAGAACAUGGGUAUCGCCGGUUCAUAGAGGUUGACGCCUUGAAGGCCUACCUGGAAGACGACGAUUGUUUCAGAGUCAGCUGCGAAAUCGUCGUCUACGACAUGUAUUCCGAACCCGCCGUCACCCCGCGGCCCGUCGUCGUCCCGCCGUCCGACCUGCAUCGGCAGCUCCUUGCCCUCCUCGGGAGCGGACGGGGAGGGGACGUGACGUUCUCGGUCGGCGGUAGCUGUUCCCGGCGCACAAGUACAUGGUCGCCGCUCGGUCCCCGGUCUUCAUGGCGGAGCUCUUUGGCCCGAUGA